GACGGAGGGUGCAAGCGUUGCUCGGAAUCACUGGGCGUAAAGGGUGCGUAGGCGGUCUCGCAAGUCUGGCGUGAAAGCCCAAGGCUCAGCCUUGGAAGUGCGCUCGAAACGGCGAGGCUGGAGUGCCGGAGGGGAGAGUGGAAUUCCCGGUGUAGCGGUGAAAUGCGCAGAUAUCAGGAAGAACACCCGUGGCGAAGGCGGCUCUCUGGUACGUGACUGACGCUGAGACGCGAAAGCGUGGGGAGCGAACAGG
rnacentral:rRNA from 1 species